rnacentral:rRNA from 1 species
UACGUAGGGUGCGAGCGUUAAUCGGAAUUACUGGGCGUAAAGGGUGCGUAGGCGGUUUGGUAAGUCUGAUGUGAAAUCCCCGGGCUCAACCUGGGAACGGCAUUGGAGACUGUCAAGCUAGAGUGCGUCAGAGGGGGGUAGAAUUCCACGUGUAGCAGUGAAAUGCGUAGAGAUGUGGAGGAAUACCGAUGGCGAAGGUAGCCCCCUGGGAUGACACUGACGCUGAAGCACGAAAGCGUGGGGAGCAAACAGG